AGAGUUUGAUCCUGGCUCAAUUGAACGCUGGCGGCAUGCCUUACACAUGCAAGUCGAACGGUAACAGGUCUUCGGAUGCUGACGAGUGGCGAACGGGUGAGUAAUACAUCGGAACGUGCCCGAGAGUGGGGGAUAACGAGGCGAAAGCUUUGCUAAUACCGCAUACGAUCUCAGGAUGAAAGCAGGGGACCGCAAGGCCUUGCGCUCACGGAGCGGCCGAUGGCAAAUUAGCUAGUUGGUGGGGUAAUGGCCCACCAAGGCGACGAUCCGUAACUGGUCUGAGAGGAUGAUCAGUCACACUGGAACUGAGACACGGUCCACACUCCUACGGGAGGCAGCAGUGGGGAAUAUUGGACAAUGGGCGAAAGCCUGAUCCAGCCAUGCCGCGUGUGUGAAGAAGGUCUUCGGAUUGUAAAGCACUUUAAGUUGGGGAGGAAGGGCAGUAAGUUAAUACCUUGCUGUUUUGACGUUACCAACAGAAUAAGCACCGGCUAACUUCGUGCCAGCAGCCGCGGUAAUAACGUAGGGUGCAAGCGUUAAUCGGAAUUACUGGGCGUAAAGCGUGCGCAGGCGGUUAUAUAAAAACAGAUGUGAAAUCCCCCGGGCUCAACCUGAGAACUGCAUUUGUGACUGUAUAGCUAGAGUACAGGAGAAGGGGGGGGAUAGGAAUCCUCCGGGGGGUGACCCAUGUGAAAGUGCUAAAUAUUUGGCGAGAGAACACCCGGAGGGCGAAGGCACUCCCCUUGAACCUGGUACUGACGCUCAUGCACGAAAGCGUGGGGGAGCAAACAGGAAUAAUACCCUUGUAGUCCACGCCUAACGAUGCACCUGUGUGUGUUGUGGCUCCUCCGUGAACUCAAUACGAAGCUAACGCGUGAAGUUGACGGCGUGAGGAAGUACGGCCGUAGAUCGACUCGAGAAUGACGGAUCGUCACGGGUGAUGAAUGAUGUGUUUGAC
rnacentral:rRNA from 1 species